AUUGAACGCUGGCGGCAUGCCUAACACAUGCAAGUCGAACGAGUCGCGGACGUAUGAGUAAUGUCUGUGCCCCUUCCCGGUGGAGAGGUAUAACUACUGGAAACGGUAGCUAAUACCGCAUUCCAUCGCAUGUGCCCAGAUGGGAUUAGCUUGUGGGUGGGGUAACGGCUCACCUAGGCGACGAUCCCUAGCUGGUCUGAGAGGAUGACCAGCCACACUGGAACUGAGACACGGUCCAGACUCCUACGGGAGGCAGCAGUGGGGAAUAUUGGACAAUGGGCGAAAGCCUGAUACAGCCAUGCCGCGUGUAUGAAGAAGGCCUUCGGGUUGUAAAGUACUUUUAGCAGGGAGGCGUUACUCGCAGAAGAAGCACCGGCUAACUACGUGCCAGCAGCCGCGGUAAUAC
rnacentral:rRNA from 1 species